rnacentral:lncRNA from 1 species
UGCGCCGGGAGCUCAGCGAGGCUCCCAGGCGGACAGACCGCCGGAGGCAGGAACCUGGGAAGGGAGAGGGUGCCUCUUCGGCGCCCAUUUAUAACGAGUGAGAGUAGCAAGCAGUAACAGUGUUCUUCACAUGGGAGAGCACUGUAAAACCAGUAGAAUUUGGACUUCUACCCAAAUGCUGGCUGAAGGUUAUUUUGCCCACUGCGACUGGGCCUACAGGCUCUGAAGUGAACAUCUGUGCCUCUACAGCUAAGAGACUUCUUAAUAGCCUGUUGAUAGAUCUAGUACAGUUUGGUCAAUAUGAACUUGUAGCAGUGAUGCUUGAUUACAUACACACUUUUCUAAUAAAAGUUGCUUCAAAAAUGUUUCAGCAUAAGAAAAAGAAAAAAAAAGAAAAAGAAAAAGAAUUCUGGUUUAAAACAUAA